rnacentral:rRNA from 1 species
GACGUAGGGCGCGAGCGUUGUCCGGAUUUAUUGGGCGUAAAGAGCUCGUAGGCGGCUUGUCGCGUCGACUGUGAAAACCCGCGGCUUAACUGCGGGCUUGCGGUUGAUACGGGCGGGCUAGAGUUCGGUAGGGGAGACUGGAAUUCCUGGUGUAGCGGUGAAAUGCGCAGAUAUCAGGAGGAAUACCGGUGGCGAAGGCGGCAUCCUGGACCAUUACUGACGCUGAGGCGCGAAAGCUAGGGGAGCAAACGGG